rnacentral:rRNA from 1 species
UCAGGCCUAACACAUGCAAGUCGAACGGCAGCACGGGUGCUUGCACCUGGUGGCGAGUGGCGAACGGGUGAGUAAUACAUCGGAACGUACCUUAUCGUGUGGGAUAACGCAGCGAAAGUUGCGCUAAUACCGCAUACGCCCUGAGGGGGAAAGCGGGGGACCGUAAGGCCUCGCGCGAUUAGAGCGGCCGAUGUCUGAUUAGCUUGUUGGUGAGGUAAAAGCUCACCAAGGCGAUGAUCAGUAGCUGGUCUGAGAGGACGAUCAGCCACACUGGGACUGAGACACGGCCCAGACUCCUACGGGAGGCAGCAGUGGGGAAUUUUGGACAAUGGGGGCAACCCUGAUCCAGCAAUGCCGCGUGAGUGAAGAAGGCCUUCGGGUUGUAAAGCUCUUUUGUCAGGGAAGAAACAGCAGCUCUAACACAGUUUGCGAAUGAC